UUAUCAAUUUACGUCGUGAAUAGUUGUGGAAAACUUGCAAAAAGAUUACUCUUAAAAUCUAAAUUAACAAUUAUCCUUUCAACUUCAAACUCUUGAUAUUUAUAACUACAAAAGAGGCACUAAACAAAAAUCAUAAAAAAUAUAUAACACAAGUUUGACAAUUAUUAAUCUAUUCAAAUACAUUAUGGUAAGGUCUAAUCGCGAAUUUUGACCGUUAAUCCAAGCGUAAACGAAAUGAUAAAAUAAUUAAAAGCAUCAAUUAAAAUCAACUAAUCAUUAUCUCUGGGCAAUCCAAUUCAGAAAAUCAGCAUCUCAUUAGCUGCAAUUUUCACUUCUAUGUGACCGUAUCACCAUAGAACUACCAACACUGUAAAUCAUCUUCACAUGGACACUCCCAUGAACCUCCAACUAGUAUAAGCAACCCUUCUCGGUUAACUUAACUACACCCAAUACGCCCACUCUCGUAAUAACAAGAGAUUAAAAAUUAGCUUAAUCAAACAUGUGUAAUACAAAAUAAAAUGCAAAAAAAAAUAUACAAUAAAAAACUAAACCUAGGCAUAAAUUAAACAUUCUGAAUGGAUAAAAACAUUUAUGAAAACUUAAAGUUAUUUACAAACAUGAAAAUAUUGUCCACAUGACUUCUUCGGUUUGAACGUGCGGAGCCACUUCUUCGAAUCUUUCAUCAGGAACUUGUCAUUUUAUAACGGUUUCUUUGCCGGUUUUCGGAUCGACGGAUACGCCAGUCCACUCUGUUAUUUACAUUGUGACAUAUAUAUACAUUGUUACCAACACAAAAGUUUCGAUAUACACGUUACUGCUAGUCUGAUGUAACAUCUCAGAGUCAUCUCAGGUUUCUAUUCAUCAACAAUUCUCACAGGCGUCCUUCUAAUGUUCUUCAAAGUUCGAGGAUAAUGCGUUUCCAUAAAA
rnacentral:lncRNA from 1 species